rnacentral:rRNA from 1 species
UACGUAGGGUGCAAGCGUUAAUCGGAAUUACUGGGCGUAAAGCGUGCGCAGGCGGUUCGGAAAGAAAGGUGUGAAAUCCCCGGGCUUAACCUGGGAACGGCACUUUUAACUACCGGGCUAGAGUGUGUCAGAGGGGGGUGGAAUUCCGCGUGUAGCAGUGAAAUGCGUAGAGAUGCGGAGGAACACCGAUGGCGAAGGCAGCCCCCUGGGAUAACACUGACGCUCAUGCACGAAAGCGUGGGGAGCAAACAGG